rnacentral:lncRNA from 1 species
AUAGGCUUGGCAGUCAGCCCACGGGUUUAGGUUACCCAGUGGAGCCCGCCCGCGAAUACAGCCCGAAAGUCUGGGCCCGAAGGAUGUUUACCGGUUUCGGUCAGGCCCGUGACCCGCGAGUUUCGGGUAAUGGGCGGAUACGGAUAAUAACUUAACCGACCCAUACCCAAUCCGUGAGUUAAAACGACGUAGUAUUGAUAUAGGGUAUAAAAGCAAAAUUUUCAGACUAGGGUUUCAUUUCAGCCAUUU